rnacentral:sRNA from 1 species
AUUUAUAUAUAUAUAUAUAAUUAAUCCCUCCGACCAAUUUUCCGGCAUCUUUUUCGGUGAGGUUCUUCACCGAAAUGACCGGAUUAUGGAGUCUUUGGAUUCCUUCUAAUGAGUACUAUAAGAUAGUGUAUUUACAUGUCUAAAUUAAAGUUACUAUGAAUGAGUAAUUGAGGUCCAAAGUGGUGAGCUUGAAAGCUUGUAA